rnacentral:rRNA from 1 species
GCAAGGGUGAGUAAUGUAUAGGUAAUCUGCCCUUUGGACUGGGGUAACCUCGAGAAAUCGAGGACAAUACCAGAUGAUGCAGCGGCAACGCAUGGUUAUGUUGUUAAAGAUUUAUCGCCAAAGGAUGAGCCUAUAUCCCAUCAGGUAGUUGGUAAGGUAACGGCUUACCAAGCCUACGACGGGUAGCUGGUCUGAGAGGAUGAUCAGCCACAUUGGAACUGAGACACGGUCCAGACUCCUACGGGAGGCAGCAGUGAGGAAUAUUGCGCAAUGGGCGAAAGCCUGACGCAGCAACGCCGCGUGGAUGAUGAAGUUCUUCGGAAUGUAAAAUCCUUUUGCAGGGGACGAAUAUGCUGGCUUGACAGCACUGACGGUACCUUGCGAAUAAGCCACGGCUAACUCUGUGCCAGCAGCCGCGGUGAUACAGGGGUGGCAAGCGUUGUCCGGA